rnacentral:rRNA from 1 species
AGGGCUUCUGACGGAUGCCUUGGCGUAGAGAGGCGAUGAAGGACGUGGCAAGCUGCGAUAAGAGCCGGGGAGGCGCUAGCACCCUUUGAUCCGGCUAUUUCCGAAUGGGGAAACCCACCUUUGCGGUCUUCCAACUCUGCUCUUUCGGGCAGCGAUUGGCGGAUCGCUAAAAGGUACAAUGACCUGAAUACAUAGGGUUCAUUGAGCGAACCCGGGGAACUGAAACAUCUCAGUACCCGGAGGAAAGGACAUCAACUGAGACUCCCGUAGUAGUGGCGAGCGAACCGGGACCAGGCCAGUGCUCUUGUGAAAUAAAGUCGAACGGAAUGGAAAGUCCGGCCAUAGCGGGUGACAGCCCCGUAGACGUCAAACAGCAAGAGACUCGAGUAGGGCGGGACACGUGAAAUCCUGUCUGAACAUGGGGGGACCACCCUCCAAGCCUAAGUACUCCUCUACGACCGAUAGUGAACAAGUACCGUGAGGGAAAGGUGAAAAGCACCCCGACAAGGGGAGUGAAACAGAUCCUGAAAUCGGAAGCCUACAAGCAGUCGGAGCCGCCAAGCGCGGUGACGGCGUACCUUUUGUAUAAUGGGUCAGCGACUUCAUGUGUCGAGCAAGCUUAAGCCGUUAGGUGUAGGCGCAGCGAAAGCGAGUCUGAACAGGGCGCUAAGUUCGACGUAUGACGACCCGAAACCAGGUGAUCUAUCCAUGAGCAGGAUGAAGGUAAGGUAACACUUACUGGAGGUCCGAACCCGUGAAUGUUGAAAAAUUCUGGGAUGACUUGUGGAUAGGGGUGAAAGGCCAAUCAAACCUGGACAUAGCUGGUUCUCCGCGAAAUCUAUUUAGGUAGAGCGUCCGACGAAUACCCUGGGGGGUAGAGCACUGGAUGGUUGCGGGCUGCGCGAGCGGUACCAAUACUAACCAAACUCCGAAUACCCAGGAGUACUAUCGGGCAGACACACGGCGGGUGCUAACGUCCGUCGUGAAAAGGGAAACAACCCUAACCAUCAUCUAAGGCCCCCAAGUCAUGGCUAAGUGGGAAACGAUGUGGGAUUGCUUUGACAAUCAGGAGGUUGGCUUAGAAGCAGCCAUCCUUUAAAGAAAGCGUAACAGCUCACUGAUCAAGCGAUCCUGCGCGGAAAAUGUAACGGGGCUAAAGCCAUGCGCCGAAGAUAUGGGUUUGCAGUUUACUGCAAGCGGUAGCGGAGCGUUCCGUAAGCCUGUGAAGGUCAACCGUGAGGUUGGCUGGAGGUAUCGGAAGUGAGAAUGCUGACAUGAGUAACGAUAAACAGUGUGAGAAACACUGUCGCCGAAAGACCAAGGGUUCCUGCGUAAAGCUAAUCUGCGCAGGGUUAGUCGGCCCCUAAGGCGAGGCUGAAAAGCGUAGUCGAUGGGAAGCAGGUAAAUAUUCCUGCACCAGCUGGAAGUGACGGAUGGCAUAAGUCGUCGGGGCUUAUUGGAUUGUUCCCGGCGGUGGCGUUGUCCCUGGAAAUAACUCCAGCAGAGACCGUACCCGAAACCGACACAGGUGGUCAGGUAGAGAAUACCAAGGCGCUUGAGAGAACUGUGCUGAAGGAACUCGGCAAAUUGCACGCGUAACUUCGGAAAAAGCGUGACUCACCCUGGGCAACCAGGAAUGAGUGGCACAAGCCAGGGGGUAGCGACUGUUUAGCAAAAACAUAGGGCUCUGCGAAGCAUCAAUGCGACGUAUAGGGUCUGACGCCUGCCCGGUGCCUGAAGGUUAAAGGGAGGAGUGAAAGCUCCGAACUGAAGCCCAGGUAAACGGCGGCCGUAACUAUAACGGUCCUAAGGUAGCGAAAUUCCUUGUCGGGUAAGUUCCGACCUGCACGAAUGGCGUAACGACUUCCCCACUGUCUCCAGCACAGGCUCAGUGAAAUUGAAUUCCCCGUGAAGAUGCGGGGUUCCCGCGGUCAGACGGAAAGACCCUAUGAACCUUUACUAUAGCUUCGCCUUGGCGUUAGCGACCGUAUGUGUAGGAUAGGUGGGAGGCUAUGAAGCCGGGGCGCCAGCUCUGGUGGAGCCAUCCUUGAAAUACCACCCUUACUGUCGUUGACGUCUAACCGAGGGCCGUUAUCCGGUCCCGGGACAUGGCGUGGUGGGUAGUUUGACUGGGGCGGUCGC